GCGGGAAUAGCGUAAUGGCUAACGCACUGCCUUCCCAAGGCAGGGAUUGCGGGUUCGAGUCCCGUUUCCCGCU
rnacentral:tRNA from 1 species